GACGAACGCUGGCGGCGUGCUUAACACAUGCAAGUCGAACGGAAAGGCCCUGCUUUUGUGGGGUGCUCGAGUGGCGAACGGGUGAGUAACACGUGAGUAACCUGCCCUUGACUUUGGGAUAACUUCAGGAAACUGGGGCUAAUACCGGAUAGGAGCUCCUUCUGCAUGGUGGGGGUUGGAAAGUUUCGGCGGUUGGGGAUGGACUCGCGGCUUAUCAGCUUGUUGGUGGGGUAGUGGCUUACCAAGGCUUUGACGGGUAGCCGGCCUGAGAGGGUGACCGGCCACAUUGGGACUGAGAUACGGCCCAGACUCCUACGGGAGGAAGCAGUGGGGAAUAUUGCACAAUGGGCGGAAGCCUGAUGCAGCAACGCCGCGUGCGGGAUGACGGCCUUCGGGUUGUAAACCGCUUUCGCCUGUGACGAAGAGUGAGUGACGGUAAUGGGUAAAGAAGCACCGGCUAACUACGUG
rnacentral:rRNA from 1 species